GAGCAGUUAAGCCAAUAGGGUUUCUUUCCUCACCAGAGUCUAGUGUGCAAUGGCUGCAAAGAGCAGCCUCCUGGUAACUGACACAGCCUGCUGCUUGUAUGGGUUCCCCUAAGCAACUCUGAAGAGUUUU